UCUGGUAACUCCCAUGCUAUGCUCUUUUCCCAUCCGUCCAUCUCUUGCUGCUGUCCUAGACAAAUCGUCCACAUAUGUUUCGCGUACUGGUUUUGUAGGAAAAAUGAAGGGAAAGCAUUUCUUUGGGGAGCUUGAUACAAAAGCUAAAUGCUCAUCCUAAAGGAAUUAAUGCCUGGCCCUUAUGGCAAAAGUGUUCUGAACAUAUAAUGCUUCCGUCACUUUGCACGCCAACCUGAACAAAGAAACAGAAGGUGGAACCCUUCUUCAAAAAAUUACUAUCUAUCAACACGCAGACAAGGAAGUAAAAUCUGCCACUCUUGAGGGGAAAAACUUGCAUCAUCCGUCAGGUUGAACAAAAAAAAACUUGAUCUCUUUGAUGUUUCUCGUUCACCCAGGUUGCUAUAAUCUGUAACCAUCAGCUUGCGGUCUCAAAAUCACAUGAUUCCCAGAUGGCUAAGGUGAAUGAAAAGUUUGACGAAUUAAAGGCUCAGAGGAAUGGGCUGAAAAUAGAGUUAGAGAAAGCGAGAAAGGAGAGCAUAUAGGCAAUGAUAAAGAUGAGAAGAGACAGAGAACAUUGAUCCUCGAAGUGUACUUCAAAAUCACAGAUAUAUCAAAUUUUGUACUUGCCUGACUCAAAGAGUGGAGACAAUCUCAUAUAGUCUAGCUAAAUGUG